CUCGUGACUGCGUGCCUUUUGAAGAAUGAGCCUGCGAGUUAGCGGUGUGUAGCGAGGUUAACCCGUGUGGGGAAGCCGUAGCGAAAGCGAGUCCGAAUAGGGCGAUUGAGUUGCACGCUCUAGACCCGAAGCGGAGUGAUCUAGCCAUGGGCAGGUUGAAGCGGAGGUAAGACUUCGUGGAGGACCGAACCCACCAGGGUUGAAAACCUGGGGGAUGACCUGUGGUUAGGGGUGAAAGGCCAAUCAAACUCCGUGAUAGCUGGUUCUCCCCGAAAUGCAUUUAGGUGCAGCGUCGUGUGUUUCUUGCCGGAGGUAGAGCACUGGAUAGGCGAUGGGCCCUACCGGGUUACUGACCUUAGCCAAACUCCGAAUGCCGGUAAGUGAGAGCACGGCAGUGAGACUGUGGGGGAUAAGCUCCAUGGUCGAGAGGGAAACAGCCCAGAGCAUCGACUAAGGCCCCUAAGCGUACGCUAAGUGGGAAAGGAUGUGGAGUCGCAGAGACAACCAGGAGGUUGGCUUAGAAGCAGCCACCCUUGAAAGAGUGCGUAAUAGCUCACUGGUCAAGUGAUUCCGCGCCGACAAUGUAGCGGGGCUCAAGCGUACCGCCGAAGUCGUGUCAUUGCAGCAAUAGGGCCAACGCCUGCUGUGAUGGGUAGGGGAGCGUCGUGUGCCGGGUGAAGCAGCAGCGGAAGCUAGUUGUGGACGGUUCACGAGUGAGAAUGCAGGCAUGAGUAGCGAUACACACGUGAGAAACGUGUGCGCCGAUUGACUAAGGGUUCCUGGGUCAAGCUGAUCUGCCCAGGGUAAGUCGGGACCUAAGGCGAGGCCGACAGGCGUAGUCGAUGGACAACCGGUUGAUAUUCCGGUACCCGCUUUGAAACGCCCAAUAUCGAAUCCUCUGAUGCUAAGCCCGUGAAGCCGUUCCGGACCCUUCGGGGAAAGGAAAGUGGUGGAGCCGGCGAUCCAAGGUGGUAGUAGGUAAGCGAUGGGGUGACGCAGGAAGGUAGUCCAGCCCGGGCGGUGGUUGUCCCGGGGUAAGGGUGUAGGCCGUGUGGUAGGCAAAUCCGUCACACGUUAAGGCUGAGACCU
rnacentral:rRNA from 1 species